UACGGAGGGGGCGAGCGUUAUUCGGAAUCAUUGGGCGUAAAGCGCGCGUAGGCGGCCCGGUAAGUCCGCUGUAAAAGUCAAAGGCUCAACCUUUGAAUGUCAGUGGAUACUGCCGGGCUAGAGUCCGGAAGAGGCGAGUGGAACUCCUGGUGUAGCGGUGGAAUGCGCAGAUAUCAGGAAGAACACCGACGGCGAAGGCAGCUCGCUGGGACGGUACUGACGCUGAGGCGCGAAAGCGUGGGGAGCGAACAGG
rnacentral:rRNA from 1 species